CCCUUAGAUGUUCGGGGCCGCACGCGUGCUACACUGAGUAAAUCAAUGGGUAAGGGAACACGAAAGUGCAACCUAAUCUUGAAAUUUGCUCGUGAUGGGGAUCGACGGUUGCAAUUUUCCGUCGUGAACGAGGAAUACCUUGUAGGCGCGUGUCAUCAUCACGCGCCGAAUACGUCCCUGCCCUUUGUACACACCGCCCGUCGCUCCUACCGAUUGAGUGAUCCGGUGAGGCUCUGGGACCUGGACGGAAAGAGCGUUUCGCUUGUUCUGUUUGGGAAACUUGGUCGAACCUUAUCAUUUAGAGGAAGGAGAAGUCGUAACA
rnacentral:rRNA from 1 species